rnacentral:rRNA from 1 species
ACACGGAUGAAAGACAAGCUGAAAGACUUUUCUCAAUGAUGUAAGUGGUGGUGCAUGGUCGUUCUUAGUUCGUGGAGUGAUUUGUCUGGUCUAUUCCGAUAACGAGCGAGACCCCGGCGAUCCUAAUAGGGGUAGCAGCCCGGCUUGCCCGCGAGGGCUUGCUAGCCGCUACCUCGUACAACUUCUUAGACGUAUCAGAGCCGAUAAGGUUCUUGAAAUGGGUUAAUAACAGGUCAGUCAUGCCCUUAGAUGUUCUGGGCCGCACGCGCGUUACAAUGGCAUGCAAAGAGAGUGCCUACAAGGGCAAUUCCGCGGCCUACAGGUCGCGGUAACCCCUAGUCCCUGCCUUGACUGGGACAGACUAUUGCAAUUAUUGGUCUCAAACGAGGAAUUUUUAGUAGUCGCAGGUCAUUAGCCUGCGACGA